GCGCUCGCCGCAGCAGCUGCGCACUCCCGCGCAUGCCCGCUGGGGGAGUGGCCGGAGCCCGCCCAGCUCGAGCGAUGAUUCGGUGCUCGCCCGGCUGCCCCGCACGCGUUCGCAAUGCGAGCCCAGGGCGGGAGCGCGAGGCUGCUGCCUGGGACGGUGGGAAAUCACGUGGCCUGUCUGUGCCGCUGCUUAGAGGGCGAUGGCCUUUGGCAGCUCCUCUCCCAGUGAUGGCCGCCCAUUGCUCCCUGCCUCUGAGGGGAUGCUGAGUGGGUGAGGGCCCCACAUCCAUGACCUCAGGCUGGGCCCUGCCGGAGCUAGGGCAUCCCCACCCAGGCCUCAGCCCUCUCUGCAGCGUUACCACCAGUAUUGCUAAAGCUGAGCAUUAACAUGCCCGGGUCUGCCCCAACCUGCCAGCCCCCACCCACCUCCAAAUUGAAUUGGCAGGAAGGCACUUGGCAACUUCUCUCCCUGCCAGGUACACUCCAGUGGUAACAAUCCAGCCAUAAGCAGCAUUAGCUGAUAAAGAACAGCAAAAUUGCUAUGCAAAAUUGACUAAUUUUAAAAAAAUCUAAUAAAAUUAGUGGAUGAAAUGGAAGUAGUGGGUAGAACAUGUCUUGACUCAUCUUCAGCAACGCAUCUGAUAGUAUCUCUUGAAAUCUUCCUCCAAUAUGUCAGGGCUUGCCACAGCAAAACAUCUGUUGACUUCCUUGGGGAAAAGACUGGAUUGAAUAUUUGCAGUGUCUCAUCAAUUGUAAACUCUGAAGUACCAUCAAAUGGAAGAGAUUCUCUGCUUGGACAGUGGCUGAAGGGAUUGCUCCAGAAUUCUUGCUUAUUCCCAUUGAUUUUUAUUAUUAUAUUGCAAAGAAGCUGGCCUGUCCAUAGCAUCCCUGAAAAUUCAUCCAUCUACAUAUCUUUUACCUGCCUGGUGUUUUUUCCCCACUCUACAUUUCCUGCAUGGGACUUGAACUUGCUGCUAACAAAGCUUAUACGGAGCCAUCCUUUGAGCUUCCUGUGGAUUGCUUUUUGGAUUACCUGUUCACACAAUUUUCUUUAUAGUUAUCAUUGCUGCCAGGAGCAUCAGUGAGUUGCAAGCUCUGAUGGUGGUGUUACCUUAAGAGCCAAGUGGUCUUACAUGCCAACCCAAAAUGUAUUCCUAAAGUGUGAUGGACUUUCAUAUUAACCCAUCUAUCUCCCUCCUGGUCUUCUUCCCCACCUUGCACUCACACCUGGGGAAGACCUGUCUCCACAUCUUAGAUGUGAAGAAUGUAUUAGUUUUUAUCUAGACUAGAGAGAGAUAAGCCCUCCCAAAAGUCCAGUAGGUUGUUUGUGGUGUAUGAGGAGAAAUGUAAAAGGCAGGAUCUCCACUCACAGAUUAGCCAAGUAGAUUAUUUUAUGCAUUUGAUUGUGCUAUUAUGUGUCUAGUAUCCCUCACCAACAAGAAUUGAGGCCUACACCACUAGAGAUAUGGAUGCUUCUGUAGCCCAUCUUUAGGCUAGUGCCCAUUGCUGAGACUUGCAGAGCAGAAACUUGAAGUUUAAUUCCCACCUUCACUAAGCACUACCCCUUAGACUUAAUCUCCGGUUCAAAUGCUGAGGUUUGAGAAUUUGGUGCUUCAGCCUCUGUUCAUCUUACAACUCCUCAGCCCACCUUCCAUCUUGGAUGGUACUGCUUCCCAGACACCCCCUAAUAGUGGUUCGGUGAGCUUAUCAUGAGGGGUACCAAUCCCUUAAAUAUGAAUGCACAGAAUCAACUCUUAAACAACAUUACCAGUAAUAACCUUUCUCUCUUUUUCUCCAAGAAAAUUCUCUUGCAGGAAGUUAUCUGCAACCUGGGACUGUUGACAGCAGGAGCAGCAUGUUUUCCUUAGGAGACUGGCCAGGCUUACUUUCUGUUUAUAAAGAAACACAGCCCUUAUUGGUCUUGCAACAAGCAAAAGAGACGAGUGAUGCCCAGAGGCCUCAGUGAGAGUCAGGACCCAACUACACUAGAGGCACAACACACAGGAAGGCAUGGCUCCUGCUCCAAAGAGAUUUCAAUCUAAUUUAAGACAAGUUGCAGCCAAUGAGUGUGAUAAAUAAUGGGAGCACUGGAGGAGAGAAGAAAAGAUUAACAGUCAUAAACUAAGUCUGCAGAGAAUGUACCGGUACAUACAUGCUCCUCUGUGUGCCACAGUUGGAAAGAUUGGCGUAAAAGAAGAACUGAAUAAAACAGCUGGGUUGUGUGCUAAAGGCAGGCAUUGGGGUAGUGUGAAGCAAAAGUGCUUUGCUGGAGCACAGGCCAGAUACAGAUCUUGUUGGAGUUAUCCAGGCCUUUGUCAUUGUGAGAUUAGACUAAUGAAAUGUGUGCUACAUCUUAAAAUCACUUGGAAAUGUAAAUUAAUGCAGAAUGUGACUUCACGCUAAGUGGUGGUUCAAGUGGACAUCACUUUACACAUACUAUCUCCUGUUCUAUUUUGAUUUCUGUUCUAUGCCCAUCACUACGCUGCUCACCUGCACUCAUAAUCUGUGCUGCUUCUGAUUAGUUUCCAAGUGGAAUGUAAGGUGUCAGCUUUGCCGAUAAAGUCCUGAAUGGUUUGGGACUUGCUCCUGGGAUAGAUCGAUAUCUACUUGUGAUACCACAGCAACUGCAAUCAGCGGAGGUCCUCAAACAGUCCCCUGCUUUCAAAUACAAGGUCAUUGUAAAAGAAGAUGCUGAAGUUUUGGUGCAUUUUCCUCUUAAACUUUCUCACCCUGCAGCUUGAUGCUAACCCUGGGCUCAAAGUGAGGAUUACACAAAAAGGACUGGACCAUGAUAGGAUGAAGGGCCAAGUAGUGUCAGCACAGACAACCUCCAGAUGGAUUACUUCCUGUAUUACCAGAUAUGCGGUGAAAAACAUUCCUCCUCCACAGAGACUCUUCACUCAUUCAACAAGAGCUCAAGCUACAUCGGUAGCUUUCUUGAGUGAUGCUCCAAUUCUAGACACUAAUUCCACUUCUCCCUGGCCUACUCCAACGUUGGCUUUUUUGAGGCAAGUUCAUGGUUUCGGUGUCCAGGAAACAAGAACCAAGAAUCUGAGGGACAGGCUCAAUCCAGAAUACAGGAAGCUGAAAUUUCCCACAUUAAUUUUUAGCUCAUUAGACUUUACCCCUGGAUGGCUCUCUCUCUCUCUCUCUCUCUCUCUCUCUCUCUCUCUCUCUCUCUCUCUCAUAUUCAUUUUGGGGACUCUCUCUGCCAAUAUCUUUUCUGCUUUAAAACUGUGUAUUCUUUACUGUUCCUUUUCUUUUCAAUAAUCACUGCAAUAAAAAAAGAUGUUUUCCAGUCCAAUCUUUCCUCACAGAUCACAAAAUGUUAUAAAAUCAUUACUGUAACAUAACACUAGUAUUCAAAACAGAGGAGAAAAAGAAGCACCAAUUGCAGGUUAGAAUAUUAACUGUAGGAUAAGAGACAAGCAGCGCUGAGACUCGGCACAGAUGGCUAAUCAUUAAGCUAUGGGGAAGGAGUAAAGGAUGCUACUCACAAAAGCCUUGAAACAGUGAUGCAGUAACAUACAAUGGAUAAGGCCUGUCACCUUUAAAUGACGAUUGGUUCUGGGUAGCUGAAUAGAGGGGAAUUAAAAUCUCUCAGGCCCUACAGUGAAGUAACAGGCAAAAUAUUCUAAGGGCUGGUCCACACUAGCUCUUUAAAUCGAAUUUAGCAGCGUUAAAUCGAAUUAAGCGUGCACCCGUCCACACCAGGAAGCCAUUUAAUUCGACAUAGAGGGCUCCUUAGUUCGA